ensembl:lncRNA
AUGUCUUUCUGUCGUAGACUUUGUGUAAACAGUGUUGUCUUUAUAGUGAACUGUUUGUAAAGGUUUCAUAUUUGUAUUUUGUGAAAACAUGUUAUUUGUGUGUAAGUAUUUAAGUUAUUUGGUUACGUGUUUCACUUACAAAAAUGUUUCCAGCUGUUUUAGUGAUGCAAAUGAUGAACACGCCCAAUUAUAUCGUGAAUGUACAGGAGCUAGACAAAAUACUGUGAACGCAGAAAGGAAAGCGCGUUGUAACUCUCACCAAAUUCAGAAAUCCAUCAUUUUGCACUGCAGGGGUCUGAUCACAUUUACAAAUUACUAUAUUUAGAUACUGUCCCCAUAUUUGAAAACUGUUUGUCUUGGAUUUCCUCUGUUUUUCCUGAGGUUUUUCACCUAUACAGUUCAUCUGACUGACAUGGCUGCAGUUUGGGAGGAGCAUUUUAACUGUUUUUUUUUUUCCCUCAUAUUGAUAAUUCACAUGCAACAUUGUUGAUUGUUCAGUAUCUUUUAUACCCAGACGAAAGCAAAUUUUACAAGAUGUCAGUCACCACAUUGGACCUACUAUAAAUCUGUUACAGUGUAAUUAUUUGCAGAGAGCCUUUCCACUCUCCUCUGCUUGUAGUUUCUUAUUUUCUCCACAUUUUGCUGUGCUCAGGAGGUUUCUGGGCUUCAGCCCUCCAGCAGUGGGUGUUUAACUCCCAGCCAAUAAAAGUUUUCUGGCUUUGAGGGUGGGGAAACGUGGUGACAACAUUACACGCCUCCGUCUCACUCCUCUGCUCUCUGUCUGUGUUGUGAAUGUCUGUACAUCUGUUCCUCCAGAGGCACAUAGUUAAAGCAGAGUGGCCAACUGGCAAUGCUGCACCUUGCUGUAAAGGUGUGGCUGUGUUUGUUGUCUAUAGGGUGACCGCAGUGAAAUAAUCAGAAAAUGUUGUUUCAUCUCCCUCGUGUCAUUCACCCCCCCUUUUUUUUUUUUUUUUUUUUUUUUUUUUUUUUUUUUUUGAGGAGGCAAAAGUGGGGAAAAGCUGGAUGUAACAUCUGUAAUUAGCAUAAAGUGUAUACGAUACUGUCGCCUUUUACUGUAGUUUUCAUUGCAAUAGAAUUUUUUUUUUUUUUAAGGAACUUUAUUUUUGCUAAUCCAUAUAAAUGGCUACUAAGCAGAUGUUCUGCCGGUAUUGUGCAUAUAUUCUGAUUUGUCAUCAAAGUGAACCAAGUUUGUUGCCUUCCUGAAAUCUUUGUAAUUGAAAUGGUAGACUUCAUGUUCAGGCAUGUGAAGUUUAUUUAACACUGGGCUUGAUAAAAGGCCUCCAUUCUUUUCUUUUCUUUUUUCUUCUUCGGGGAAUAUUUCGACAUGCAUGACCUCUGAACAAAGUAUUGUAUUCAGAGAGAAUGGUGUUAUUCCAAAGGGACAGAGGUUUAUUUGGAGAAUUUUUCCACAUCCUGUUUUUCUUCACAAACAACACUACCACCCAUAAAAUGUCUCUGUGACUGUUGCAAUAAAACUAAUUCAUGAAGUUAUGUUCAACAAAACAGUGCAUUUGGGCUAAAUGUUGUUAGACUAUAAAUGAUUACAUUUUUCGACAAAGCACCUAAGAUCUUGUAAGAUUUGGUGUACACAAGAUGAAU